CGUGCCUAAUACAUGCAAGUCGAGCGAACGGACGAGAAGCUUGCUUCUCUGAUGUUAGCGGCGGACGGGUGAGUAACACGUGGAUAACCUACCUAUAAGACUGGGAUAACUUCGGGAAACCGGAGCUAAUACCGGAUAAUAUUUUGAACCGCAUGGUUCAAAAGUGAAAGACGGUCUUGCUGUCACUUAUAGAUGGAUCCGCGCUGCAUUAGCUAGUUGGUAAGGUAACGGCUUACCAAGGCAACGAUGCAUAGCCGACCUGAGAGGGUGAUCGGCCACACUGGAACUGAGACACGGUCCAGACUCCUACGGGAGGCAGCAGUAGGGAAUCUUCCGCAAUGGGCGAAAGCCUGACGGAGCAACGCCGCGUGAGUGAUGAAGGUCUUCGGAUCGUAAAACUCUGUUAUUAGGGAAGAACAUAUGUGUAAGUAACUGUGCACAUCUUGACGGUACCUAAUCAGAAAGCCACGGCUAACUACGUGCCAGCAGCCGCGGUAAUACGUAGGUGGCAAGCGUUAUCCGGAAUUAUUGGGCGUAAAGCGCGCGUAGGCGGUUUUUUAAGUCUGAUGUGAAAGCCCACGGCUCAACCGUGGAGGGUCAUUGGAAACUGGAAAACUUGAGUGCAGAAGAGGAAAGUGGAAUUCCAUGUGUAGCGGUGAAAUGCGCAGAGAUAUGGAGGAACACCAGUGGCGAAGGCGACUUUCUGGUCUGUAACUGACGCUGAUGUGCGAAAGCGUGGGGAUCAAACAGGAUUAGAUACCCUGGUAGUCCACGCCGUAAACGAUGAGUGCUAAGUGUUAGGGGGUUUCCGCCCCUUAGUGCUGCAGCUAACGCAUUAAGCACUCCGCCUGGGGAGUACGACCGCAAGGUUGAAACUCAAAGGAAUUGACGGGGACCCGCACAAGCGGUGGAGCAUGUGGUUUAAUUCGAAGCAACGCGAAGAACCUUACCAAAUCUUGACAUCCUUUGACAACUCUAGAGAUAGAGCUUUCCCCUUCGGGGGACAAAGUGACAGGUGGUGCAUGGUUGUCGUCAGCUCGUGUCGUGAGAUGUUGGGUUAAGUCCCGCAACGAGCGCAACCCUUAAGCUUAGUUGCCAUCAUUAAGUUGGGCACUCUAAGUUGACUGCCGGUGACAAACCGGAGGAAGGUGGGGAUGACGUCAAAUCAUCAUGCCCCUUAUGAUUUGGGCUACACACGUGCUACAAUGGACAAUACAAAGGGCAGCGAAACCGCGAGGUCAAGCAAAUCCCAUAAAGUUGUUCUCAGUUCGGAUUGUAGUCUGCAACUCGACUACAUGAAGCUGGAAUCGCUAGUAAUCGUAGAUCAGCAUGCUACGGUGAAUACGUUCCCGGGUCUUGUACACACCGCCCGUCACACCACGAGAGUUUGUAACACCCGAAGCCGGUGGAGUAACCUUUUAGGAGCUAGCCGUCGAAGGUGGGACAAAUGAUUGGGGUGAAGUCGUAACAAGGUAGCCGUAUCGGAAGGUGCGGCUG
rnacentral:rRNA from 1 species